UACGGAGGGUGCAAGCGUUAAUCGGAAUUACUGGGCGUAAAGCGCACGCAGGUGGCUGAGUCAGUCGAUUGUGAAAGCCCUGGGCUUAACCUGGGAAUUGCAGUCGAUACUACUCAGCUAGAGUAUGGGAGAGGGUAGUGGAAUUCCUGGUGUAGCGGUGAAAUGCGUAGAUAUCAGGAGGAACACCAGUGGCGAAGGCGACUCACUGGACAUGUAUUGACGCUGAGGUACGAAAGCGUGGGGAGCAAACAGG
rnacentral:rRNA from 1 species